GUGGCUGUAGCUCAGGGGCAGAGCGCUUGCCUAGCACACAUGAGACACCGAGUUCAAUCCUCAGCACCACA
rnacentral:tRNA from 1 species